GGCUGCAGUCGAGGAUCUUCGGCAAUGGGCGAAAGCCUGACCGAGCGACGCCGCGAGGACGAUGAAGGCCUUCGGGUUGUAAAGUCCUGUCGAGGGGGAUCAAGGCGCAAGCUUGAGUGAUCCCUGGAGGAAGCACGGGCUAAGUUCGUGCCAGCAGCCGCGGUAAGACGAACCGUGCAAACGUUAUUCGGAAUCACUGGGCAUAAAGGGCGCGUAGGCGGCUUCAUAAGUCAGGGGUGAAAUCCGGCAGCUCAACUGUCGCAGUGCCUUUGAUACUGUGAAGCUCGAGGGAUGUAGGGGUCUGUGGAACUUCCGGUGGAGCGGUGAAAUGCGUUGAUAUCGGAAGGAACGCCGGUGGCGAAAGCGACGGACUGGACAUUUUCUGACGCUGAGGCGCGAAAGCCAGGGGAGCAAACGGGAUUAGAUACCCCGGUAGUCCUGGCCCUAAACGAUGGGUACUAGAUUGCGGACUUACAUGGGUUCGCAGUCGAAGCUAAUGUUUUAAGUACCCCGCCUGGGGAGUAUGGUCGCAAGGCUGAAACUCAAAGGAAUUGACGGGGGCUCACACAA
rnacentral:rRNA from 1 species